UCUUUGCUACGUUUGGAAGGAGCCCGACGAGACGCGCCGUACCGGGAUGCCGCAGGAAAAGACGACGCAUC
rnacentral:ncRNA from 1 species